rnacentral:misc_RNA from 1 species
GUGAAUCAUCAAAUUUUUGAACGCAAAUUGCACUCUCUAGUAUUCCGGGGAGUAUGCCUGUUUGAGGGUCAGUAUAAAUAAAAAUCGAGGUGUUGCUUAUGGUGACGCCAUCGGAAUUGGGUUAUCUUUAUUCUUAAUAAUGGUUUAAAGUGACAAAAUAUUGCUGAUACGUGGUGCAUCACAAGAC